rnacentral:rRNA from 1 species
AAAUCGUACCCCAAACCGACACAGGUGGUCAGGUAGAGAAUACCAAGGCGCUUGAGAGAACUCGGGUGAAGGAACUAGGCAAAAUGGUGCCGUAACUUCGGGAGAAGGCACGCUGGUGUGUAGGUGAAGCCCCUGCGGGUGGAGCUGAGACCAGUCGAAGAUACCAGCUGGCUGCAACUGUUUAUUAAAAACACAGCACUGUGCAAACACGAAAGUGGACGUAUACGGUGUGACGCCUGCCCGGUGCCGGAAGGUUAAUUGAUGGGGUUAUCCGUAAGGAGAAGCUCUUGAUCGAAGCCCCGGUAAACGGCGGCCGUAACUAUAACGGUCCUAAGGUAGCGAAAUUCCUUGUCGGGUAAGUUCCGACCUGCACGAAUGGCGUAAUGAUGGCCAGGCUGUCUCCACCCGAGACUCAGUGAAAUUGAACUCGCUGUGAAGAUGCAGUGUACCCGCGGCAAGACGGAAAGACCCCGUGAACCUUUACUAUAGCUUGACACUGAACAUUGAGCCUUGAUGUGUAGGAUAGGUGGGAGGCUUUGAAGCGUGGACGCCAGUCUGCGUGGAGCCAACCUUGAAAUACCACCCUUUAAUGUUUGAUGUUCUAACGUUGGCCCCUGACCGGGGUUGCGGACAGUGUCUGGUGGGUAGUUUGACUGGGGCGGUCUCCUCCCAAAGCGUAACGGAGGAGCACGAAGGUUAGCUAAUCCUGGUCGGACAUCAGGAGGUUAGUGCAAUGGCAUAAGCUAGCUUGACUGCGAGCGUGACGGCGCGAGCAGGUGCGAAAGCAGGUCAUAGUGAUCCGGUGGUUCUGAAUGGAAGGGCCAUCGCUCAACGGAUAAAAGGUACUCCGGGGAUAACAGGCUGAUACCGCCCAAGAGUUCAUAUCGACGGCGGUGUUUGGCACCUCGAUGUCGGCUCAUCACAUCCUGGGGCUGAAGUAGGUCCCAAGGGUAUGGCUGUUCGCCAUUUAAAGUGGUACGCGAGCUGGGUUUAGAACGUCGUGAGACAGUUCGGUCCCUAUCUGCCGUGGGCGCUGGAGAAUUGAGGGGGGCUGCUCCUAGUACGAGAGGACCGGAGUGGACGUAUCACUGGUGUUCGGGUUGUCAUGCCAAUGGCACUGCCCGGUAGCUAAAUGCGGAAGAGAUAAGUGCUGAAAGCAUCUAAGCACGAAACUUGCCCCGAGAUGAGUUCUCCCUGAGACUUUAAGUCUCCUGAAGGAACGUUAAAGACGAUGACGUUGAUAGGCCGGGUGUGUAAGCGCAGCGAUGCGUUGAGCUAACCGGUACUAAUGAACCGUGAGGCUUAACCUU